rnacentral:rRNA from 1 species
UACGUAGGGUGCAAGCGUUGUCCGGAAUUAUUGGGCGUAAAGAGCUUGUAGGCGGUCUGUCGCGUCGGCUGUGAAAACUCGGGGCUCAACCCCGAGCCUGCAGUCGAUACGGGCAGACUAGAGUGCAGUAGGGGAGAUUGGAAUUCCUGGUGUAGCGGUGAAAUGCGCAGAUAUCAGGAGGAACACCGGUGGCGAAGGCGGGUCUCUGGGCAUGUCCUGACGUGAGGAGCGAAAGUGUGGGGAGCGAACAGG